rnacentral:rRNA from 1 species
GACGAACGCUGGCGGCGUGCCUAAUACAUGCAAGUCGAACGCAGUGGGGACGGGUGAGUAACACGUGGGUAACCUCCCAUCAGAGGGGAUAACACUUGGAAACAGGUGCUAAACCGAUACUGAUGGAUGGACCCGCUGGGCAUUAGCUAGUUGGUGAGGUCACGGCGCACCAAGGCCACGAGGCAUAGCCUGCCUGGGAGGGUUGUGAGCCAGACUGGGCCGGAGACACGGCCCAGACGCCUACGGGAGCCAGAAGUAGGGAAUCUUCGGCAAUGGACGAAAGUCUGACCGGGCAAAGCCGCGUGAGUGAAGAGGGUUUUCGGAUCGUAAAGCUCUUUUGUUAGAGAAGCGGUAUCUAACCAGAAAGCCCCGGCUAACUACGUGCCAGCCGCCGCGGUAAUAC